ACUGGGCUAGGGCAAGGUAGUGAACUCGUUAUCCGUGGCCAUUCGUACUCAUAAUAUUCUAAUGAGAAAAUCAAUGUCGAAACAACAUGUGCAGGGCAGGGCGAUCGGACGUGCAUGGUUCGUUCGUUCAUCUAUGGUUCCCGGGCAAACUACCUUGGACUUACUAGCUCGGUUCUUUAAGUACAAUAACUCAUUCAUUGAUUCUUCGGUCGACAUCCAUCCCCACAUGCAACAAUGGUCCCCGGGCAUAUAAAGUACCUCGGGAAUUCCUUCGUUCGUUCGUGCACCAAUGAAGGAUUGAAUGACAGCGGUGGUCGCUCGUGGGCUGAUGAUUGAACCUCCCGUGCGUUAUUGAAGACUUAGUUCCUGGCCGCUCGUGGACUGAUUGGUUCUACCUUUCAGAAUGAGGUUUCCUACUAGCAUUUAUUGUUGACCUACCUGUGAAUUAAUUACCUAGGGGCCGGACCACCAUGAACGAAGGUCCUACCAUGAUGCACGUACACGAUGGUGAUGGUGAUGGUGAACGAUCGCUCACUUAUUAAAGGUGGUCGCUCGUGGACUGAUGUGCUCCUCAAGGACUAUGUGUUUUUACCUUUCAUUUCAUAAUUAGUCCCUCGCCUAGGAGGUGUGAGCAAGCUUAUAUCCAAGGUCGGGCAAGUUUACGGACGAGGUCGUUCAAGCUUAUGGACUUCAAUCAAUCCCUGUUCGUUGUUGGUUGUUCGAUCAAUAUGUUCUCGUAUAGUAAAUAAAGUAAUAAGAAAAGAAAGAAAAGAAACACUCUAUGAGCGAGCAAAGGCUGCUUUGAUAUCUGUAGUGAAAGCCCUAUUCCGAUUAGUAAUCUCUAUGCCAAUUAGUCUAUUUGGGCAUGUUCCAAUCUAGUGGCGCAGUGCUCUAUCCGCCAAGUAAUGUAUAAUGUGUAGCGGC
rnacentral:lncRNA from 1 species